rnacentral:ncRNA from 1 species
AGCUUAGUAGUUCUUAGUUGGGCUAUCAAAAAACAGUGAUGACAUGACACGACGUCAUGGCAAGCCAUCAGCGACACGACGUCGCAUUGAUGGCGUUCACGUUCGUUUUCAUUACAUAAAUCAGCACAACUUAGAAAUACUUAGCU